rnacentral:misc_RNA from 1 species
GAAAAAAGUAAUUUAAGAUUAUCAGUUUUUUACAGAGAUAAAGAUGAGUUAAGUUGGGAGUUUAUGGCGAGCAAUCCCUCGAUCCCGAAGAAGAAGCUCAAGAGAGUCCCUCUCACGUAUUAGCUUGUCCAAGAAACUUCACAUUCUCUCAGUUUCCUUGCCAACAGUGGGGAAAUAAGCAUAAUCGACGAUUUUAUGCGUUCAUGUGAUUUAUAUAUCACCUGGAGUGACACAGAUUGCAGUAACAGUGUUCUGCGAAAUUGACUCACCCACCAUGGAUUUGGGGGGUAAAUAUAUUUGUCCUUUAUUGGCUCAUUAUCACCCAAGUUUACUGGAUUUGCAGAUUCUUGAUCCCGGUCGGAAGGUCCAUUGCUCUGUCAGUGAUAACCGAUAAAGAGUUCCUAUAUCCUCUCUUCAUGAUGUGUGAGUAUUAAUAUACUGGAAAUCUAAAAAUUCACAAUCCUGAAUCUAACUAAAAGUACUCGAUACACUCAGCAAACAUAUCAUCGUAUUUAUCAUGCUGGGCUUCCUGUCCAUAAUUUUUUGGUUUAAUUUGGACCAAAGCAAUAUCUCGUUGGUGAAAAGAUGUAUAAAGAAAUAUCAAUCGUGGGAAGUAAAAGUAACUACUCAAGAGCAAAUUCUAUUAUCAAUUCUUCCAAAAGACUAUCGACCAUCUCACUAACUGCAUCUUCGGCAUCUGUUCGGAUAUCCAUCCAUGUUCUUGAUUUAGUCAAGUCCUUUACAAGAAGUUGCUCUAGUGUUUGUGAAGGUGCCAAGAAGAGGUUCCAAUCAACAUUUUUUAUCACUUCCUGAGCUACACUUCCUGUCAUUGUAGCUGGUAGAAUUUUCGGUUUCAUAAAUGACAACCAAGGGGAGCAUCUUAAGUACCACCGGUUUACAUCUACAAGGACUUCAUUAAGAAAGUCAAAGAGUAGCCAGUCAUGACCACAGAAAUGGUUAGGCCGCAAAUAUCUGUUAUCAAGUAAGGACUGGUUAUGGAGUUGUUCUGAUAAAUGGCACUUGAAUGCAAGUUCAUCCCAACUGAAGUGACAAGAUUGUAAAACUGUACUAAUGUGCUCGAACAUGGAUCUAUGCCCUUCCAUAAAAGUACUCAUCUUCAAAUCCGAAGGGAACUGAUGAUCAGCCAAGCAGCCUUCUUCCAUACCAAUUUGCAGCAGUCGUAUUGAUUGUAGAGCAGAAUGGGGUUCAGUGUUCGCAGGACUGAUGAUUUCUUCUGUCAAAAACUGAUCAAGUACUGAUACUGGACUUGGCUGCUCUUCUUUGUCUUUAAUUGUGUCAGAUUCUCUAAAUAUCUGACUCUUUAAAGGGCUUGUUGAACUAUCAUCGAUUGAAUAUGUUGAUGUCUGAUUCUCCACAAGUGAAUCCUCUCUGGAAAAGCCCAGCGAUCCACUUUUCUCACAGGUGUCCACUGUCUCAGUGCUUGGACUAACACCAUCAUUAUAUGAACUAUCAGGUUUGGAGGGCACUCCAGGAGGAACAAUUUCUUCUGAAUCUCUAUAUUUUGUUUCUAUAAUGCUCAAAUCAUUAUUAAGAGAAUCAAUAUUUCUGCACUCCUGGUCAUCUGGAAAAGGGCUGUAUGAAAUGUUUGGCCUUGUCUCAUACAUUUGUGGUUGUUUCUGUUUAACAGCCCACGGCAGAGCCUCUACAUUCUGCUUCAAUGGACUUGAGCAACUGCUUUUCUUUUCAUUUGAAUCUCUCCAAUUGUUCUCGCUGAGGCUGACAAUUUGAUGAUUACUGUUGGAGGAAAAUCUCAUCUGUGGGGAGACGAACCCAUGUUCCCCUGUCCUUCUGGAGCUGACCAUGGAUAAGAAGUCAUAUUCAGGAACAUAGCUUAUCCCAUCCCAGCUUUUUGCUUUCUGCCUCCUUAAAAAAUUUGCACUUCCAAUUUUCAUUUCAGAGACACAUACCCUAGGCUCAACAAACGCAUCAUGUUUGUUUCUCUUUGGAUGAUUGAGGUUUGACAAAUGUAAGUUUUCAUGACCACUUCCACUGGUUGAAGUAGAUUCAUCUCUACCAACCGGAUCAAACUCAUUCACCUUGUCCAUUUGGUCUUUCCCCUUGACAUCCAUGGAAGAUUUGGUCAUUCCUCCAGAAUCAGAGGAGGCUUUGUCAGUUGAUUUUCUUUUGAUAAUAUCUACACCUGUUGCUUUGCCAUGUUGUCCGAAGCCCUCUAACUCAUGGAUAGACUUCUGAUGCGAAGAACCAUCAGUUAGCAUUAACUGUUGCUUUUUCCUGACUAGCCCCAUAGCACGCAUCAACUUUCUUUUCAUUUGUUCGAAAGCAAAAAAUGCAGGUUUAACACUAUGCUGUACAUUCCUUGAGCCAUAAUGAAUUCGUGGAGUGUCAUGACUGAUUCUUUGAUCUUCACAGUUUUGCAAGCUUUCUGAACUAGGCCUGAAAACUACUAUUUUCUCCAGGGGCUGACAAUCACCAGCUUCCUUAGACUGGUUACAUUCUUUUGUAUUCCUUGUCUGCUGUUCUGAUAAUUCGGCUUUAGUGAAGGAUUUAUUCUGCUGCUGCUUUGCCUGAGAGUCUCUCAAAUCUUCAAUGUGUUUCAGCAACAGAGAAUUGGGGUCUUGCAGAAGUUUUAAGAACAAAUCCCUGUUGGAAUUCAGUAUCUCUAAUGCAUCCAAGAAGUGCUUAGACUGCUGAAUUAUCCCACUACCACCAAGGUGUUUUCCAUCAAUCAACUUCUGGUUUAUAAAUGCUUCAGUUGCUUCAUUCAUAUUAACUUGAAGAUUGAUCUCGUUGACUUGGUCAUGCUGCGCGCAAUUUGUGCUUUUACAAUUGCAGUCGCUCUCAUUUUUAGGAUGCAAAUGCAAUUGCAUUUCUGCAGUCAAUGCAGAGUCUAAUGACUUUGAAGAUCUCUCACUGUCGGCCAAAUUUUGAUGAGUAGGUUUUCUAUGCUCCACAGUUGAUACAUCAUAACAACCAUAAAUAGGUAAACGACGAGAUCUACGUGAAGUCUUGAUUGCUUUUCUAUGGUUCCUUAAUAAGUCAUCAAGAAGUUGAGAAUCAGAUUUUGCAUUUUCCACUUUAGCAGCCACAAUCUUCUUUUUUAUCUGCUGCUCAACGGACAGAUUUCCUCCCUUGAUUUUCUCCACUCUUGCAUAACCAGAAUCAAGAAUCAUAGAUUUCUUGUCCAAUACAUCAUGAUUGUAUUCAUCUGAAUGCAAAUCAAGCUUAUUCCCUAUGUGUCCAUCACCAAGAGCAUCUCUGUUUAAGCUUCUCCUGUCAGUAUCAGACAUCAGCUUCUUUGAGUGACGAUGUCGAAAAUGGAAGAAACUGAUUAAACCAUGUACACAUCUAGACUUGUAUUCUUCAUAGGCAACUGGACUCUUUGGAAUGGGACUCUUCGGCAUAGGGCUCUUCGGCAUGGGGCUCUUUGGAAUAGGACUCUUCAGCAUAGAGCUCUUAGACACGGGGGUCUUCAGCAUAUUGCUCUUAGGCGAUC